rnacentral:rRNA from 1 species
GAUGAACGCUGGCGGCGUGCCUAAUACAUGCAAGUCGAGCGAACAGAUAAGGAGCUUGCUCCUUUGACGUUAGCGGCGGACGGGUGAGUAACACGUGGGUAACCUACCUAUAAGACUGGGAUAACUUCGGGAAACCGGAGCUAAUACCGGAUAACAUUUGGAACCGCAUGGUUCUAAAGUGAAAGAUGGUUUUGCUAUCACUUAUAGAUGGACCCGCGCCGUAUUAGCUAGUUGGUAAGGUAAUGGCUUACCAAGGCAACGAUACGUAGCCGACCUGAGAGGGUGAUCGGCCACACUGGAACUGAGACACGGUCCAGACUCCUACGGGAGGCAGCAGUAGGGAAUCUUCCGCAAUGGGCGAAAGCCUGACGGAGCAACGCCGCGUGAGUGAUGAAGGGUUUCGGCUCGUAAAACUCUGUUAUUAGGGAAGAACAAACGUGUAAGUAACUGUGCACGUCUUGACGGUACCUAAUCAGAAAGCCACGGCUAACUACGUG